CCUGGCCUCACUCUGUAGACCAGGCUGGCCUCAAAUUCACAGAGAUCCGCCUGCCUCUGCCUCCUGGGUGCUGGGAU
rnacentral:miRNA from 1 species